CCAUUUUUGCGACCUUGCAACU
rnacentral:miRNA from 16 species